AAUGUGUGUCCAUUUUUUUUAUCCUAUAAAUCCUUGCUUUCUAAGAGUCUGUGUUUGCUGUGUGGUUGUAAGUGUGGCAGAGAAUUACAGAAUACCCCCCUUUUCCCCCCCCAAAAAUAAAAAAACUAAUGGGUUUAUUCAGGGAUAUGGUUACUAAAUAGCAAAUUGCAGUGAACUUAAUGAAUUUGAAAAUUUAAGAUUAAUUAACCAAUUCAUACCUAAAAU